AAGUGUUUCUCACCAGCUGAUUAAAGACAAAAAAACGUACCUAGACAUUCGUAAACAAGACUAAAAGAUCUGUUAAAAAAAACUACUAAAAACGAAAACUAUUUCCAAACAUUUUUAUGUGCAAAAACAAAAAACAAAACAAAAAUCCGCCAAAAAAAUCCCCCAUCAUUUUUGGUAUUAUGUGCAAUCUGAACCAUAAACAACAAAUUAGCAACAACACAAAAAUUUAAAAUCAAAUACUAAACAGGAAAAAGACACACAAUCCAAAAAAAUCGUAUAGAUCAGUGAUCAAUUGUGAAACAUUUAGAAGAAAAAAAAAAUAUACAAUUUGAAGCGUGAAUUGACAAAUAAAAACUAAAAUACUCAAACAAUCGCAGCAGCAGAAAAACAACAAUAAAUGCAGCAAUAAAUAUUUCCAAAUAGAACUCAUCACCGAACUUGAGGUUUUCUAUGCUCACAAAUUUGCUUCGGUUGGAGACUACCAAGCAGUUUUUCUUUAUUUAUGUUAAUGCUUUUGGCUUUGGUCUAAGAAAAGUUGGUUUUUUCUAGAGGGGGGGGUUUUUUAUAACGUCCCAGAAACCAAGCCGAGAGCUGCAGAAGUAUUAUUGACAACAACUACAACAAUAGCAGCAGCAGCGGCACCAGCAACAACAACAGCAACUCAACAACAUCAGCAGGAGUAUACAACACACAAUUUAUAAAGGAAAAAAAUACAACAUUUUUUUUCU
rnacentral:sRNA from 1 species